rnacentral:tRNA from 1 species
UACUCUAUAGCUCAGUUGGGAGAGCUGCAGGCUCAUGACCUGUGUAUUGCCUAGGUUCGAUUCCUAGUAGAGUAA